UAGGCAUGUAACUCAAUGGUAGAGUGUCACUUUGACGUGGUGAUUGUUGGUGGUUCGAUUCCACUCAUGCCUAU
rnacentral:tRNA from 1 species